rnacentral:lncRNA from 1 species
AAAUAUUGCAAACAGAAAAAGUUACGAAAAUAUCAUCAACAGAACCAUGAUUUUUAAUGGUCAGCAAGAAAUCUUUUGACCCAUUCCAACCGCACAUCAGAAGGUAAACUAAAGAAAACGAGCAUUUGAGUUGGAUGAUCUGGAAUUUUGCUCAAUGCUCGAUAGCGCUCAUCCACAGUUAAACCUUCUAUUUCACAUAAGGUUGGAUAUAAAUUUGUAG